GGAAUAUUGGUCAAUGGGCGUAAGCCUGAACCAGCCAAGUCGCGUGAGGGAAGACGGUCCUACGGAUUGUAAACCUCUUUUGCCGGGGAGCAACGGGGUCCUUGCGAGGGCCCUAUGAGAGUACCCGGAGAAAAAGCAUCGGCUAACUCCGUGCCAGCAGCCGCGGUAAUACGGAGGAUGCGAGCGUUGUCCGGAUUUAUUGGGUUUAAAGGGUGCGUAGGCGGGCUGUUAAGUCAGCGGUCAAAUGUCGGGGCUCAACCCCGGCCUGCCGUUGAAACUGGCGGCCUCGAGUGGGCGAGAAGUAUGCGGAAUGCGUGGUGUAGCGGUGAAAUGCAUAGAUAUCACGCAGAACUCCGAUUGCGAAGGCAGCAUACCGGCGCCCUACUGACGCUGAGGCACGAAAGCGUGGGUAUCGAACAGGAUUAGAUACCCUGGU
rnacentral:rRNA from 1 species